rnacentral:lncRNA from 1 species
CCUGUCACUCAGCCACUGUCUUACCCAUUAAACAAUAUUGGAAUUCAAACUUAAAGAUUGCAGUUUAUUGAUGAGCCUUCUAUGUGCAACAAUGUCCAAAGCCUUACUGAAAUCUAGGUAAGAAAUGUCUACUGCACCAACCUGAUCUAUUAUUUUAGUUACCCAAUCAAAAAAAAAAAUCAAUAAGAUUAGUUUGGCAUGAUCUCCCUGAAGUAAACCCAUGUUGUCUCUGAUCUUGAAAUCCAUGUGAUUUUAUAUGUUCAACAAUCCAAUCCUUUAACAUGGUUUCCAUCACUUUCCCCACUACUGAAGUAAGGCUUACUGGCCUAUAGUUGCC